CUUAUCCAUUUAAAACAGACAAUACUUUCCAAUUAUUUAUUUCUAUGAUUGAAUUAAUGGGACAGUGCUACAAACAGAAGUCCUAUGGAAUAAGUCAUACUUGGAAGAUCAGAGUUUACUCUAGACAACUUGACAGCAAUCAGUUUAAAAAUGGUUUCACCUAGAGGGAUGUGUACUAAUGUUAGCAAUUAACUUUGAAAGGCAUAACAAUUAAGAUGGAUUGAUGGAUACAAGGAUGGUUAUACGAUAAAGCAAUGUAAGUAUUAAUGGCAGAAUCUAGGUGGCAGGCAUAUGUGUGUCAGCUGUAAAAUUUGUGUUCAAUAUUUUUUUAGUUCCCACAUAUCAGUGAGAACAUGUGAUAUUUGUCUUUCCGUGUCUGGCUUAGUUCACUAAAAAAAUGAAUUUACAAGACAACUGGAAUAUAAGCAAUGAAUACAAGCACUAAGAAGAUGAAGCCAUAGAAACAGCUGCCAGAAAGUGAAGAUGUGACAGUGAACAUCAAACAAGUGGUGGAGUCUAUGGCCCUUCUCCUUGAAUCUGAGUGAAAUUAGUGAGUCUUUCAAUCCAAAGACUACAGUCGUACCUCAACUAUCUACAGAGGACUGGUUCCAGGACUCCCAUGGAUCCCAAAAUCCAAGGAUGCUUCGAAUCCCUUAUAUAAAAUGGCAUGGUAUUUGCAUAUAACCUACAUGCAUCUUCAAAUAUGUUAAACCAUCUCUAGAUUACUUAUAAUACCAAAUACAAUGUAAUGCUAUGUAAACAGUUGUUACAAUGUAUUGUCAAAGACAAGCUCUCCUUGCCAAUCCCUGACCAAAUGAGAGAUUCAUGAGCAAAAUAAAUAGUUGCUGAUAUUUAAGGCACUAAGUUUGGGGCAAUGUAUUACACAGCAAUAAAUAACUGGAACAGCAUAGUAAAUUCUAGUUAAAAAUACUAAACUACUAAGUUUUAGUUAACAUACAUGCUGAAGUUAAGGGUGUGGUAUACUAACAACUGCAACUUACUUUGAAAAGCAUAAAAAAAGACACUAGAAGAAGACAGGAUGGAUAGAUGGACAAGAUAGAAGACAAAAAUAGAACAAAAUGUUGUGAAAUUAUAUUCUACAAUUAUUUUAAAGUCUGUGUGGUUUGAAAAAUUGUACGAUAAAAUGAAGAGUGAAAUAAAGACAUUUCCAUACAAACAAAAGCUGAAAGAUUUUGUAGCCAGUAGACCUAUACUUUAGAAAUGUUUAAGAAAUUUUUUCAAGUAAAAGGAAAAUAACACCAGCAACAAACUUGGAUCUACAAAAAGGAAUCUCCACAAAGGAAAAUAAAUAAAAAUGGUAAAUAUGAAGGUAAAUAUAAAGGAAUGUUAUUCUUAGUUUUUAAGUUUCUUCGUAAGACAACUGGCCUUUGAAAGAAAUAGUUUCAAACGCUGCUGUGGAAUCUGUAACACAUAUAGAAGUAAAAUGUUAAGAUCAUAAUACCAAAAAGAAUGAGGGAGAGUAAAUGGAUGUAUACUAUUCCAAAAUUCUUACAUUAUACAUUAAGAGGAAUAAUAUUUUUGAAGGUAGAUUGAGGUAAGUUAAAGGUGCAUAUUGUAAAUCCUAGAAGUAUCACUGGGGGGAAAAAAAACAGAGGGACAAGCUAAUAAUGGAGACAAUACAAAAUUCCAAAAAUGCUCCAUUAACCGAAAAGAAGGCAGAAAAGGAAGAAAAGAUUAGACAAAUAGAAAACAAAUAGUGUCUUAAACACAACUAUAUUGCCAACUGCAAUAAAUGUAAAUGGACUUAAUCAAAUUAAAAAGCAACGAUCGUAAAAAGUCAAUCUGAAAGCAAGAUGCAACUAUAUGCUAUCUAAAAGAAAGACAUUAAAUGACCAAUAAGUUGAAAAUAAAAACACAGCAAAAUGAUAUAAUGUGCAAAAAUUAAUCAUAAGAAAGGAAUGGAUACACUAAUAUCAAAGUAGACUUUAGAUAAGGAACAUUACCAGCGAUAAACAGAGACAUUUCAUAAUGAUAAAGACAUCAAUUAAUCAAGGAGAUCUAACAGUCCUAAAUGUGAACACACCUAAGGACACAACUUUAAAGAUUUUGCUUCAAAGCAUAUGAAGAAAAAAUGAACAGAGCAGAAGGAAGAUAAACUCAAAAUUAUAGUUGAAGAUUUCAACAUUCCUCUCUCGGUAAUUAGUAAGUGGACAGAAAACCAGUAAGGAUACAGAAGAAAUACAUUUAUCUAUCUGACAAAGAACAUAUGUUCUGAAAAGAAUGUGAAAAUAUUUGAACGGACACACAAAAGAAGAAAACUUCUCAACAGCAGUCAUGAAGAAAACGUAAAUUAAGACCAUAAUGACUUUUUACACCCAUUAGAACGGCAAUUAUUUUAAAUAAAAAACAGAAAUUACCAAGUGUUAGAAAAGAUGCAGAGAAAUUGGAACCCUUAUUCACUGCUGGUGGGAAUGUAAAAUGGUGCAGUCACUGUGGAAAACAGUAUGGCAGUCUCUAAAAAAAUUAAACAUACAAUUACCAUAUGACCCAGCAAUUCCACUCCUAAGUACAUAACCAAAAGAAUUAAAAGAAGGGACUCAAACAGAUACUUAUAUACCAAUGUUCAUAGCAGCAUCAUUCACAUAGUUAAAAGUUACAAAGAGUCCAAAUGUCCACUGACAAAUAAAUAAAUAAAACAAAAAGUGAUAUAUGCACACAAUGAAAUAUUACUCAACCUUAAAGAAUCAAAUUUGGAUACAUGCUACAACAUGAAUGAACUUUGAGGACUGAUACGGUUUGAAUAUUUGUCCUGCCCAAAUCUCAUGUUAAAAUAUAAUCCCCAAUGUUGAGGGUGGGGCCUGGUGGGAGGUAACUGGGUCAUGGGAGCAAUCCCUCAUAGCUUGGUGCUCUCCUUGGGAUACAGAGUGAGUUCGCAGGAGAUGUGGUCGUUUAAAAAGGGUGUGCCACUUCCCCACCCUCUCUCUUGCUCCUGCUCUCGCCAUAUGACACGCCUGCUCCCCCUUUGCCUUCCACCAUGAGUAAACUCACCAUGAGGGCUCCCCAGAAGCUGAGCAGAUGGUGGCGCCAUGCUUGUACAGCCUGCAGCACCAGGGGCCAAAUAAACUUCUUUUCUUUUUAAAUUACCCAGUCUCAGAUAUUCAUUUAAGGCAACGCAAGAAUGGCCUAACGCAAGGACAUUAUUAUUAUUAAAUGAAAUGUGCCAGACACAAAAGGACAAAAAUCGUAUGAUUCCACUUAUAUGAAGUACCUGGAAGAGUCAAAUUCACAUAUAAAGUAGAAUAGUGAUUACCAGCAGAUAGGGAGAGUAGGCAAUGAAGAGUUACUGUUUAAUGGAUAGGGUUUCAGACUGAGAAGAUGAAAAAGUUUCAGAGAUGGAUAGCGGUGAUGGCUGCAGAAUAAUGUGAAUGUACUUUAUGUCACUGAACUGUACACUUAAAAAUAGUUAAAAUGGUAUAUUUGAUGUUGUGUAUUUUAGUACCACUUUAAAAAAAAAACACUGCAAUGGGAUACCACUAUACACCUCUCAGAACGUGUGCAAUUAAAGACUGAGAACAUCAAAUGCUGACAUUUGGAGAACUGGAACUCUCAUACACUGAUGAUGGGAAUGUAAAGUAGUAUAAUCAUCUGGAAAAUAGUUUGGCAGUUCCUUAUACAUUUAAACAUAAACUUACCAUGUGACCCAGUAAUUCCAAUUUAAGGUAUUUGCCCUAGAAAAAUGAAAACAUAUGUUCACACAAAAACAUGCACACAAAACAGUACCUUUAUUCGCAACAGCCUAAAACUGAAAACAAUUUAAAUGUUCACCAGAAAAUGAAUGAACAAACUGUGGUAUAGUCAUAUUGUAUUUAAAAAAACGAAACAAACAAAAAUCUGUGACAAACACAAAUUGGAUGAAUCUCAAAAACACGCCAAGUGAAAGAAACCAGACAUGGAAGAGUAUAUGUUACUUGAUUCCGUGGAUAUGCAAUUCUAGAGUAGGAAAACUAAUAAACAGAUCAGUGGUUGCCUGGGGCCAAGAGGGAGAAAUGACUACAGACAGGAAGGAACUUUUUGGAGGUAAUUCAAUUGUUCUAAAGCUUGAUUGUAGUAGCAGUGAUAGUGUAUAUAUUUAUCAAAAUCAAUAAAACUAUACAGUUAAAAUGGGUGCAUUUCAUUGUUUAUCAAUUAUACAUCAAUAAACUUGAUUUUUUUCAAAGUUUGUGAGAACUUAAUAUAGAAAAAGGUGGCA
rnacentral:lncRNA from 1 species